GGCUGCCCUGGCUCAGUUAUCACAGUGCUGAUGCUGUCCGUUCUCAAGGUACAGUACUGUGAUAACUGAAGGAUGGCAGCCA
rnacentral:pre_miRNA from 1 species